CUUACCAACCCGAUGCAAACUGCGAAUACCGGAGAAUGUUAUCACGGGAGACACACGGCGGGUGCUAACGUCCGUCGUGAAGAGGGAAACAACCCAGACCGCCAGCUAAGGUCCCAAAGUCAUGGUUAAGUGGGAAACGAUGUGGGAAGGCCCAGACAGCCAGGAUGUUGGCUUAGAAGCAGCCAUCAUUUAAAGAAAGCGUAAUAGCUCACUGGUCGAGUCGGCCUGCGCGGAAGAUGUAACGGGGCUA
rnacentral:rRNA from 1 species